UCGAACCUUAUACUGGUUCAAAUCAUCUCGAGGUUGGUAAUGGUAAGGGACUCUCUAUCUCUCAUCUUUGUGAUUCCUUCAUUUCAACAUCUACCAACACCUUGCGAGUCCAUUUUCUCUUGAAAAUAAAGCCCUUUUUAAAUUUCAUGGUGAUUCAUGUUUCCACGAGGAGCAAGUGUCCAAGGCUAUCCUUCAGCGUUAAAGAUGACCUUUCUUGGCUAGACAAGCCCUCCUCUAAAUUGAUCCCUCGUGCAUUGUCUAUUGUUUGUUCCACUUCUGACAUUCGGUAUAGAUGUCUUGGUUAUCCUCACACUGACGUCUUCCAUCACUUGUUUUUGAAUAAACACAAUUUUGGUUAUUUUUUUCUAGCUCAUCUUUUCAGUAUACUGCUUGUCCUUUGUACAGAUCUAGUAGAUUGUCAUUAGGUCGUUCAAAACAUAUGAACUCUGCUUUGUUGGGGUUAUUGUUUAGUGAUGUUCGGGUCCCUCUUCCACGUUCUCAUUUGAAGGGUACCGCCUUCACUUCAUUGUUUUUACAGGCCAUUUUUCCAAAUUUACAAGGUUUUGUUGAUGCUACUCCUGUUGAUGCACCAAUGGAGAUCAAUCUUAAGUUGAGAAAGGAAGAAGGGGAUCUUUUGUGUAAAUUGUACUCUCUACCGCAAGUUUGUUGGGAGCUUGGUUUACAUGACUAGUACUCGUCCAGACAUUGCUUUGUUUGUUCAACAAGUGAGCCAAUUCCUAGCUUUUCCGGUUGUAGUUCAUCGCAUCAUACCACUUAUGAGUUGCUCUUUCCAUUUGAUUCUCCAUUGACUUUGACAACUUAAUUACUACAAUACUGAUUGGUUGGCUGUCUAGACAGUCAUUGUUCUACCACUGGCUUGUGCAUAUUUCUUGGUGAUGCUCUUGUUUCUUGGAAGGACAAGAUACAGGCAAUGGCCUCCAAGUUUUCUACCAAGGUUGAAUGUUGUGCUAUGUCCACUACAUGUGCUCCGAUCAUUUGGCUUUGAGGUCUGCUUGUUGAGAUCAAGGUUUUGCUCAAACCAAUCCUACUCUUGUUGCGAUCAAGGUUUUGCUCGGACUAAUCCUCCUCUUACAAAAGUUGACUCGACAUCAAUUCUUAAUUGGCAGCAAAUUGCUGCUGAUUGAUCUCCCAGCAUCAAUUUGGAUGUGUUAUUAAAUCUAUUUUUGUUAUCAAGUCUAUUUUAGACAAUACAGCUAUUAUUGACUUUAA